rnacentral:RNase_P_RNA from 1 species
GAGGUAAGAGCUCACCGGUUUUUUGGUAACAAAAAACGCACGGCAAACCCCACUGGGAGCAAGGUUAAAUAGAGAAGACAUUGCAUUAUAGUGCUAAAAAUAGUCUUUAGUUAGUCUUCUGGGUUAACCGCUUGAGCUUAGGUGUGAAUUUAAGCCUAGAGAAAUGACAUCUUCAAUGACAGAACCCGGCUUACAGAUUAUCUGGCAAU